UGCAGUCGAGCGGUAACACAGAGGAGCUUGCUCCUUGGGUGACGAGCGGCGGACGGGUGAGUAAAGUCUGGGGAUCUGCCUGAUGGAGGGGGAUAACUACUGGAAACGGUAGCUAAUACCGCAUGACGUCUUCGGACCAAAGUGGGGGACCUUCGGGCCUCACGCCAUGAGAUGAACCCAGAUGGGAUUAGCUGGUAGGUGAGGUAACGGCUCACCUAGGCGACGAUCCCUAGCUGGUCUGAGAGGAUGACCAGCCACACUGGAACUGAGACACGGUCCAGACUCCUACGGGAGGCAGCAGUGGGGAAUAUUGCACAAUGGGGGAAACCCUGAUGCAGCCAUGCCGCGUGUGUGAAGAAGGCCUUCGGGUUGUAAAGCACUUUCAGCGGGGAGGAAGGCAAUAAACUUAAUAAGUUUGUUGAUUGACGUUACCCGCAGAAGAAGCACCGGCUAACUCCGUGCCAGCAGCCGCGGUAAUACGGAGGGUGCAAGCGUUAAUCGGAAUGACUGGGCGUAAAGCGCACGCAGGCGGUCUGUUAAGUUGGAUGUGAAAUCCCCGGGCUCAACCCGGGAACAGCAUUCAAAACUGACAGGCUAGAGUCUCGUAGAGGGGGGUAGAAUUCCAGGUGUAGCGGUGAAAUGCGUAGAGAUCUGGAGGAAUACCGGUGGCGAAGGCGGCCCCCUGGACGAAGACUGACGCUCAGGUGCGAAAGCGUGGGGAGCAAACAGGAUUAGAUACCCUGGUAGUCCACGCCGUAAACGAUGUCGACUUGGAGGCUGUGGUCUUGAACCGUGGCUUCCGGAGCUAACGCGUUAAGUCGACCGCCUGGGGAGUACGGCCGCAAGGUUAAAACUCAAAUGAAUUGACGGGGGCCCGCACAAGCGGUGGAGCAUGUGGUUUAAUUCGAUGCAACGCGAAGAACCUUACCUACUCUUGACAUCCAGAGAAGACUGUAGAGAUACGGGUUGUGCCUUCGGGAGCUCUGAGACAGGUGCUGCAUGGCUGUCGUCAGCUCGUGUUGUGAAAUGUUGGGUUAAGUCCCGCAACGAGCGCAACCCUUAUCCUUUGUUGCCAGCGAUACGGUCGGGAACUCAAAGGAGACUGCCGGUGAUAAACCGGAGGAAGGUGGGGAUGACGUCAAGUCAUCAUGGCCCUUACGAGUAGGGCUACACACGUGCUACAAUGGCGCAUACAAAGAGAAGCGAGCCUGCGAGGGUGAGCGGACCUCAUAAAGUGCGUCGUAGUCCGGAUUGGAGUCUGCAACUCGACUCCAUGAAGUCGGAAUCGCUAGUAAUCGUAGAUCAGAAUGCUACGGUGAAUACGUUCCCGGGCCUUGUACACACCGCCCGUCACACCAUGGGAGUGGGUUGCAAAAGAAGUAGGUAG
rnacentral:rRNA from 1 species